UGAGGCGGACAAAAUAAAUGUCCAUUUAGAGCAAAACUGAAACCUGGAAUGUACAACACAAAGAAGUGACAUCUCCUAUAAGUGAUACAUCGUAUAAUAUUGUGGCAAUUGGGAUGAAGCAGUUCUCCACCAAUGAGUAGACAUGAUGGAAUGCAUUUUUCACUGUGUGGUGUGGACCACCACCAGGCUGGCGAGAUGGAGAAAUGCAUGAUGGGGGAGAGGAAGAAGAGGAGGAGCAUGAGGGUAUUCUGGGGGGGGGAUGGGGUGCCAGCUUUCACUGUUGAGCAGAGACAUCUGGAAGCAUUUACAUCUGCACAGAGCGCGGCGCAGGCCCAACAGUUACAUCACUCACAGCUCCACACAAUCCCCCACCCCCAACACACACACACACGGUCCAAUAUUUAACUGCACGUGCAGAGACAAACAAACAUAUUGAACAAACAUAUAUGGGAUUUCAGUGAGUGCAAAGACAUGCAUACACACAUUUAUGUCCAACCGCCUUAAUAUUAAAAGAUUUAGGCGGACUGAUGUGGACAAGCGCCUUCACACACGCACACUUGUACACACACAAUCACCCCCCCCCCCCUGGCCCCCGUAACCCAGUACGAUUUCCUGCAAAUUCCAAAGUCAGAUCCCGGCUGGAACAUUUCAGCCCGCCUGCCACGUCAGUUUGCCUCCACCAUCCUCCCUCUCUCAUUCUCUUUCUUUCUCUUCGCUUUCGCAAAAAGGCGAGCGACGCAAAAUGCUCCGUGUCGGUUAGUGUUGGGACACACCGAGGCCACUGGACUCGAGGUCAUCUUAACCCCUGGUUAAUAGUGGUUUCUUUUAGUGGUCUUUUUAUUCUGCUUUAAGAAUGGACACGACCGAGGCCUUGGGAAGAAGGUAGAGCGGGUAGCGACCUGCAGCCGCAAUGACCUCGGGGUCUUUCCUCCCAUCAGAGUCAUCCUAACCCCCCCGCCUGCCCAGUGUUCAGACUACCUGUUCAUCAGGCUACAGCUGAACAGUAGUCUGCACAUUGGUUAGGCUGGGCUGGGACGCACACACCUCCAGCCGCCAAAUCUCCACCUUGGAAAAUGACAGGGACUCUGCAGUCAGGAUAAACCAGUACUCCUUGGAGCCGCCCUUCAUGAUGCUGAUGUUGAUGGUUAGCCAGCCUUUCCUGAUCACCUACACAGGGAGGAGACGAUAUAGGGGAGAGAAAAGGGUGAUUGGGGGGGAGAGGGACAACAGGAGGGCGAAGGAAAACAGCUUUAUCAAUCAAGUUUAUUCAUUGGUGACAUAAGGGCCCCAUAGGUGUACUGGGCUGUGACUGACACUAAUAAAACCUUACCUUCUUA